UACGGAGGGGGUUAGCGUUGUUCGGAAUACUGGGCGUAAAGCGCGCGUAGGCGGACUAUUAAGUCAGGGGUGAAAUCCCGGGGCUCAACCCCGGAACUGCCUUUGAUACUGGUAGUCUUGAGUUCGAGAGAGGUGAGUGGAACUCCGAGUGUAGGAGGUGAAAUUCGUAGAUAUUACGGAAGAACACCAGUGGCGAAGGCGGCUCACUGGCUCGAUCACUGACGCUGAGGUGCGAAAGUGUGGGGAGCAAACAGGAUUAGAUACCCCCGUAGUCC
rnacentral:rRNA from 1 species